rnacentral:lncRNA from 1 species
CGGUGCUCAGGUGAGACGCAGCUGCCCGUAAUCCCCAGAAGAUCGUUUUCAAUCCUUUUUGUUUGGUCCUUGCUGAUCUCCGGUGGGCACUAUGGUUAGAUUGUCUAUCUUCCAGGAAGCGGUCCACAUGCGCGAGCAAAUCUGGAUGGUAGGAGCAAGAUGUGUAGCCCUCGGGAAGAGUUAGCUCCAGAAUCGUCUGUGGGGGCACUCCUUCGAGGGGCCAGGUUGCUGAACAUAAUGCAAACUACAGCGAAAAUGCGCCCACAGAAUCAGGUGAAUCCGCUGUGAAGCUGGAUAUGGAUUAAGAUGUAAUUAGCUUACUUUGGUAAAGAACUAGAAUUGUUCGUCAGUUGGCAUGUACCUGAAUGUUCUUUAAAUUCCGAAACUAAAUCAUCGUGUAAGCGUGAAAUUGGUGAUGUUUGAGCUGUAAUACAUUGCAGAGUAGUUGAACAAGGAGCUUACUUUACAGGAAUGAAGCAUUGUACAGUCUCGUGAGAGUGCAUCUGGAUUAGGCCAUCAAAUCAUGAUUUCUGAAUGUGCCAUGCUUGCUGUUUCAUUUUAUUUUUUUGCGGUCUGCCACGGCACAGUAGGGUAAGCUGACAUUCUCUCGAAUGAGUUUGAUUUCCUACUUUACUGACAAUGCAG